rnacentral:lncRNA from 1 species
GCGGCGGCGGCUGAAGAGGCUGCGGCGCGCUCAGGAGACCCGCGGCGCCGCUGCCCUUGAGCGGGCCUGCGCCUCCGUGAGGGAAGAGUUGCUGCCAGUGCUGCAGUUUUCUGAACCUGGGAAACGUGCUGUUCAGACUUCAUCCGGGUCUCAUUCAGGAUGCUUCGAUGUUGGUUGGAAGAGAGUUAGACCGAAAAUGUUUUGACUGGCGUCGUUAUGACAAGGUCAUCCGUCAUUGUUGGAUAGAUUGAUAGCACCCAAGUUUAAGGCAGACACCACGAGGGAAAGCCCACGGCGCUGUGGUCCCGGAGGCUAACCAGGCAGUGUCCGCAGACCUCCAGCAACUCCAUCGGGAGGAGAGGAUGAAGUUCCAGGCCCGUUUCAAUUAAUCUGCUCGCAGAACUGCCGAAGAGUGGCUUGUCGGGCCACGGGAGAAGAAACAAAUGCUCUUUCUCACACUCUCCUGGUUCAUUGCUGAGAAACCAGGACACUCCUCUGUUCCCUGGGAGAGACAGUGAACUCCAGGGAUGGAAGUCCGGACUCCGGCGGCGGUCCCGUCAUUUGCCUUCUUGUUUCUGCCCAAACCCAGCUAGUUCCAAGCGCUUGGUCCCCAAGACUGGAAGUCCCCAAGAACCUACCUCUACCUGUCCCAACCCUGCCUCCCCCCUACCCUUUCACCCCCUGCCACCAUUAGAAAGUCUCUGGAUUUUGAAAUGCUAGUUGCAGCAGCUGCUUCCGUGGCCUCAUGCCGCCCACACUCUGGGAAGCGGAGGAGGGAGGGUUCCUCUCGUAAUAAGAUUAGCUGACCUGUUAAUGAGAGUUUUGGACGUGCCGGGCGGGGGUAGGCGCUUUAUGUCCAUUUAAUCCACCUACAUGCGGAGAAGGCAUUAUCAUUAACCCCCAUAUUGUAGAUGGGGACCGCUGAGGUUCGGAAAGUUUAGAUGGGUUGCCUAAGGUCACGCCAUUAAUGAGUAAUGGAGACGGAUUCAAAUACCGUUCGGUAAGGUGCCAAGUGCAUCUUCUGCCUACCCUAGUCCAACCUGUAGCCACUCGGUCCAGACUGACGCCAGAGGGGCUAUCAUGGGAGAGAUUUGGUUCCCCUCGCUGCGGGGUCCAGGGAAGAAGCUGAGAAGGUAGCAAAGUCCCCCUCGCCCACUACGUCUACAGGUGGCGUACCUGGGUAAUCCGAUUCAAGCUUCCGCCACACCCACCCCGGGCACAAGUCGAUCCCGAGGCUUACGGGACCCUAAGGCCCAGAGGCUACAGGAACCUCCCGUGAAGGGGGCAGGAGAAAGUUUGAGGGAGAGCCCUGAAGGUCCGGGAGCGAACGAAAAAGUCUGGAAGGGAAUAGACCAGGAGUCAGGACCUCCCCUGCACCUCCCCAGCAGGCCCACUGCGCCGAGCGGGGCCCCUGCCUCCACCGCGGCUUCCGGGAUGCCCGCAGAGCUCGGCAUCCUCACCCGGUGCGCACAAGGGCGCGCAGCGGCGUAAGCUGGACCCCCGACGCUGCGCGCGCUCUGAGGGGCGCUUCCCCCUCACACAGUUGACCCUGGGCCCGCUUGGUCACGGCCACCCUGGCGCAUCUCAAUAGUUUUUAGAAAGUGAGCCCACCGACGGCAAGGACAUGCACCCCCUCAAAUCCGCUUCCCCCACCCCCUUCAAUACUGAGAAGACCACGGAAACAAAUCACUUCGACCACUUAGAAAGCGAUCAAACCUUUAUAAAAAUCCAUCGCUCCCAAAUCGAUGGGUGAAUAUUUGCUGGGAAUUUGUUCCAGAGGAAUAAAUGAGGAGCCUUGAGUGUAUUAAAUGCAAACGGGGGGACACGGUGGUGUUUUUCUUCAUUGAUUAAUGACCUCUAAAAUAAAACAAGUGGGAAGAGGAGCCAGGAUCGAUAAAUUACCCAAAUUCAUCAUUUUCUCGAGCAUUUUCG